rnacentral:SRP_RNA from 1 species
AGCUGGGUCCUGCGCAAGGGAAGGUCGCGAACCCCGCCAGGUCCGGAAGGAAGCAACGGUACCGACUGUCACCUGUGCCGCAGGGGUGCCUGGCUAUC